ensembl:lncRNA
GCUGCUCUAGUUAAAGAUGUAAGCAUAAUCAAUUCAUUUAUCUAGUCAGAGUUUCUCAGCCUCGGUGCAAUGGACAUUUAGGGCUGGAGAAGUUUUUGUUUGGGGAGGGUUAUCCUGGGCACUGUAGAAUAUUUAGCACUGUCUCUGGCCUCUACCCACUAGAUGCCAGUAGUGUCCCCUUAGUGACAACCAAAAAUACCUCCAGAUAUUGCCAAAUGUAGCCUGGGGACAACCCCCCUCUUCCCAUGAAAAACACAGGGAGAUUUCAGGAGAUAGUCUCAAAGAAAGACGAAUAUAUAGCCCCUGUGAAUGCUGAUGAUCCAGAGAAGAUAGUCAGCAUAUUUGGGUGGCAGGGGGCCCUGAUUUACUUGGAGCAUUAAAGUAGUGGGUGAAUCCUCAGAAGUUAAUUAGUUCUGUGCAAAGCUCAGGUGCAGAAAUACAUAUACACAUGGACACAGAAACACAAGAUGAUAUUGUUUAUAGGUUAUAGUUUCAUCUAUAAAGUUUCAUGAUAAAUGCUUAUGUCAAAAUGCAGGUUUUCCCUCCUAGAGUCACCAUGGGGAGCUUUCUGCUUGUACCAGAGGUGCCUCAUUGUCCAGGCUGCUGCUAGGCUGUCCUUGGGAACUGCCUCUGCUUUGACAUCUCUACCUGUGGCUUCAUCUUUUGGAAACAACAAGCAGUUACCAAAAAUGGUGAACAAGAGGUUAUGUCUAGGUAUUGCAGAGAGCCGCUAAAUAAAUCUUCAGACUAUUAUGAAGAAAUCUUAAUGAAGGUGUUUCAUUCUAAGGUAAGUUCCUAUGCUCAUAAUCACUCAACUUUCAUCAAGUAUCUUUUUAUGUUACAUGGCUGACCUUGUGCUAGGGUGCGGACACAAAGAUGAGUAAUUGUAAACCAUUGCACAAGCACCUCAGGGCUCCCAACAAAUGUUAGUCGAAUGAAGGCACCGUUAAGGAGGUCACAUUUUGGAUAAGGUCACUUAAAGGGCCUCCAAAGAUUGAGACAUAACCGUGCAAUCCCAGCUCUACACAGACCAUUACAAAGUCUUUGCCAUAUAGACCGAGAAGGUUUGGGUCCCAGGUGAGGCGGGUGUUCAAACCAUGUAAGACUGC